AGAACGAACGCUGGCGGCAUGCCUAAUACAUGCAAGUCGAACGAACUCUUCGGAGUUAGUGGCGCACGGGUGCGUAACGCGUGGGAAUCUGCCCCUUGGUUCGGAAUAACAGUUGGAAACGACUGCUAAUACCGGAUGAUGACGAAAGUCCAAAGAUUUAUCGCCAAGGGAUGAGCCCGCGUAGGAUUAGCUAGUUGGUGAGGUAAAGGCUCACCAAGGCAACGAUCCUUAGCUGGUCUGAGAGGAUGAUCAGCCACACUGGGACUGAGACACGGCCCAGACUCCGUACGGGAGGCAGCAGUAGGGAAUAUUGGACAAUGGGCGAAAGCCUGAUCCAGCAAUGCCGCGUGAGUGAUGAAGGCUUAGGUAGUAAGCUCUUUACCGAGAUGAUAA
rnacentral:rRNA from 1 species